rnacentral:misc_RNA from 1 species
AGGAACCGGACGAUUCUGAAUCGGAACCGGAGUUCGUUGAGCUCGAUCCUUCUGGUCGAUACGGCCGGUACAAAGAGGUUCUGGGAAAAGGAGCUUUCAAGAAAGUUUACCGAGCAUUUGAUGAAUUGGAGGGGAUUGAAGUAGCUUGGAACCAGGUUAAAUUGGCUGAUCUCUUGAGGAAUGCUGUGGACUUGGAGCGUCUUUAUUCCGAAGUUCAUUUGCUUAAAACCCUCAAGCACAAGAAUAUAAUCAAAUUCUAUAACUCGUGGGUUGACUCAAAGAAUGAGAAUAUCAACAUCAUUACUGAAAUUUUCACUUCUGGGACUUUAAGACAGUACCGCAAAA